UGGGGAAUAUUGGACAAUGGGGGGAACCCUGAUCCAGCCAUGCCGCGUGUGUGAAGAAGGCCUUUUGGUUGUAAAGCACUUUAAGUGGGGAGGAGGCUCUCUUGGUUAAUACCUGAGAAGAGUGGACGUUACCCACAGAAUAAGCACCGGCUAACUCUGUGCCAGCAGCCGCGGUAAUACAGAGGGUGCGAGCGUUAAUCGGAUUUACUGGGCGUAAAGCGCGCGUAGGUGGUUAAUUAAGUCAAAUGUGAAAUCCCCGAGCUUAACUUGGGAAUUGCAUUCGAUACUGGUUAGCUAGAGUAUGGGAGAGGAUGGUAGAAUUCCAGGUGUAGCGGUGAAAUGCGUAGAGAUCUGGAGGAAUACCGAUGGCGAAGGCAGCCAUCUGGCCUAAUACUGACACUGAGGUGCGAAAGCAUGGGGAGCAAACA
rnacentral:rRNA from 1 species